rnacentral:rRNA from 1 species
UACGUAGGGUGCAAGCGUUAAUCGGAAUUACUGGGCGUAAAGCGUGCGCAGGCGGUUGUGUAAGACAGAUGUGAAAUCCCCGGGCUCAACCUGGGAACUGCAUUUGUGACUGCACAGCUGGAGUGCGGCAGAGGAGACUGGAAUUCCUGGUGUAGCAGUGAAAUGCGUAGAUAUCAGGAGGAAUACCGAUGGCGAAGGCAGGUCUCUGGGCUGACACUGACGCUCAUGCACGAAAGCGUGGGGAGCAAACAGG